rnacentral:tRNA from 2 species
CGGGGUGUGGCGCAGCUUGGUAGCGCGCGUCGUUCGGGACGACGAGGUCGCAGGUUCAAAUCCUGUCACCCCGACC